GAUGAACGCUGGCGGCGUGCCUAAUACAUGCAAGUCGAGCGAACGGACGAGAAGCUUGCUUCUCUGAUGUUAGCGGCGGACGGGUGAGUAACGCGUGGAUAACCUACCUAUAAGACUGGGAUAACUUCGGGAAACCGGAGCUAAUACCGGAUGAUAUUUUGAACCGCAUGGUUCAAAAGUGAAAGACGGUCUUGCUGUCACUUAUAGAUGGAUCCGCGCUGCAUUAGCUAGUUGGUAAGGUAACGGCUUACCAAGGCAACGAUGCAUAGCCGACCUGUGAGGGUGAUCGGCCACACUGGAACUGAGACACGGUCCAGACUCCUACGGGAGGCAGCAGUAGGGAAUCUUCCGCAAUGGGCGAAAGCCUGACGGAGCAACGCCGCGUGAGUGAUGAAGGUCUUCGGAUCGUAAAACUCUGUUAUUAGGGAAGAACAUAUGUGUAAGUAACUGUGCACAUCUUGACGGUACCUAAUCAGAAAGCCACGGCUAACUACGUG
rnacentral:rRNA from 1 species